rnacentral:antisense_RNA from 1 species
UGUAGGAGCUGCCGAAGGCUGCGAUCUUUUGAUCUUGAUCUUAAAAAACAGGAUCAAAAGAUCGCAGCCUUCGGCAGCUCCUACA